UUCCAUCAUGCCGGCUUGACGGCUCCAACAAAAGAAUCUCCCUCCACAUCACCUACUAUUAUUCAUCUGCUCCCACGAAUGAAGGUUCACGAUCAUAACAGGUACCAACCACACGGUACAAAAUUGCAAGGGUGAGUUUAUUAUAUAAAAAGAAAUCAACAAGCAUCAAAUCACAAUAAUUAGCAAGAAAUCAAUAACAAUGACCAUAAUCAUUCUCAAUAAUCCAUCAGUUCAACAUACACUUACCAAGCUAGUCAUCAACUUUUACAUAAUUCAAGUCAAUCAUGCUCAGAAUGAUGCAUGCACUUGACUCAACUCUCAAAUGCAAUAUGG
rnacentral:lncRNA from 1 species